rnacentral:tRNA from 1 species
AGGAUUUUAGUUAAAUUUUUUAUAACAUUUAAAUUGCAUUUAAAAAUUAUAUACUUAUUUUAUAAAUCUUA